rnacentral:lncRNA from 1 species
UAUAUAUAUAUAAUCCUCAGUCAUUGUCCUCUAAAUGUUUUAGGAUUGUAAGGACUCUCUGAAGAAUCGCAUCCGGAUAUUCACUGAAGCAGUAGUGGUCAUGGUAUGCCCAGUUCUUCUCUCGUUCGUGCUAAAGAAGGUGGACCUGACGGCCAAUCGAAGCAAACAAACCAUGGACAGCAUUUCCCCAAUUGGAGCGUUAACUCUGGAAGCUGGCAUACUCCCUUUCAUCGGCCUCUGCCUGUCCACGGUGCUCGGAGAGAGGCUCCCGUGGCUCGUAUUGGCCUCGAAGGUGUUCAUCCACCUAUGUCUGGCGUUGGAGGGCCAAGCCAGCGCCAUCAAGGGGCUGGAUGCUCACCUUUCCGCAUCCCUUGUCGUCAGUUUCGCGACCUGCGUCCUGGGUGUAGUCGUCAUGCUCGUUGGAACCGUCCCACCAACAAAUAUGUGCCUCCGCAUGGGCCCCUUCGUGGAUUACGUCUUGGGGAUCUGUGACAUUCUUCUGGUCAUAUCGCUCGGGGCGAUCGUCGUGCUGAUCACAAUGGUACCUCUGCGGGAGGCAGCGUGGGUAGUAUCCAUCCCGUUGCUCGUUUCUUUUCUGACGUGGGCGUUCAACCGGUGCUUCGACAACAGGGCGGCAAAUAACGGGGAUGUGAAGCCGGUGCCCCUAGAGCUGACCAAGGCCGUGUUCACAGGGUUCUUGGCCGUCUCCAUACCGAGCUUCAGCAAUAGCUACACCAGCAGCGUCGACACCCACGCUUUCAUAGUGCUUACUGGGUCAGCUGUCCUCGCUGGCCUCGCGUGGAGGCUGAUCACUCACGAGAAGGAGCCGUCGCGAGCCAUGGCCUGCGCCGAAAAUGUAGCUUCUUCGUAUGCCCACAUCUGUGUUGCGGCGGCUGUUAUUCCAUUCGCACGCAUGUCCAUGGGAUCGGAAUCCUCUCCGGUCGCUCCACCACCCACAUGUCAUUGACAAAGUCACG